UACGAAGGGGGCUAGCGUUGUUCGGAUUUACUGGGCGUAAAGCGCCCGUAGGCGGAUUGUUAAGUCGGGGGUGAAAUCCUGGAGCUCAACUCCAGAAUUGCCUUCGAUACUGGCUUUCUAGAGGCUGGAAGAGGUUAGUGGAAUUCCCAGUGUAGAGGUGAAAUUCGUAGAUAUUGGGAAGAACACCAGUGGCGAAGGCGGCUAACUGGUCCAGAUCUGACGCUGAGGUGCGAAAGCGUGGGGAGCAAACAGG
rnacentral:rRNA from 1 species